rnacentral:rRNA from 1 species
UACGUAGGGUGCAAGCGUUGUCCGGAAUUAUUGGGCGUAAAGAGCUCGUAGGCGGUUUGUCGCGUCGGCUGUGAAAACUCGGGGCUCAACCCCGAGCCUGCAGUCGAUACGGGCAAACUAGAGUGUGGUAGGGGAGACUGGAAUUCCUGGUGUAGCGGUGAAAUGCGCAGAUAUCAGGAGGAACACCGGCGGCGAAGGCGGUUCUCUGGGCCUGUACUGACGCUGAGGAGCGAAAGCGUGGGGAGCGAACAGG